UUUACAGAUGUCAAAGUUUAGCUUUUGAGCAAUAUUUCUGAGUUUCUGACAAUUGACAGUUAUAACCUACAAGUAAGAUACUUCUGGGGCUGCUAACAUGAAUUAAGUAAAGUGCUUUAAAAUGUCAAUUAGAAGCACCUGACAGUAGGGGAAAGGGGGGUAGUAAACCUCAUUCCUCACUCUGUUAGAGAACCACUGUUAUAAAGGAUAAGUAGCUUCUCCAUCUUCUCUCAGCUAGAAAACAAGUGGCUUUUAGAAUGUUUCUCCUAGUGACCCUGGUUUUAUUUUUAGAAUUGGCUUCACUUCACUAGAGAAUGAUUUGAAAUGGAAAUGGUGUAAUUUCUUCCAUUUCUGAGAAGUCAUUUGCCCUGAAGCCAUCAACUGCAUGAUCUAUCUCUUCAUCUUUUGAACCCCUAAUCGCAUUUGGGACAUCCCUUUUUGAAUUAUAGGCAUUUGUAUUCUUGGUUUAGGAUGUAACUAUUAGAGUGUAACUUGUUUCUUUGACUUUGAGAAAUGUGUGUUUCAUAGCUGCGUUGCCUGUAGUGCCUAGCGUCAUUUGAUGUAUGGUUAUAAAACAGUAAUAGCCCAGCCCAUUAUUUUUCACAAUUAUGACUGCUGUUGGAAUUCAGUCUAGACUUUGCCAUUGAUUUCUCAUUCAUUUUUUUCCAGACAUAAAUUAAUGAAAUGGAAUAGAAGGCUGAAAGAUCACCAUAUGCACAAUUCUCUUUGGAUCUUAAGAUCUCUGAGUCACAAUUUUUCAAUGACUGAAAAAUGGCAGGGACACAACCUUUUAUUUUCAUCCAGCGGCUGCAUGUUGCCAAGCUCCGCCUCCAGCUUCAGCUUCUCCUGGCCCAGUCUCCAGCUUUUCCUGAUCAUUAGUGAUAUUGAGCAUUUUUUUCAUAUGUUUUUUGGUUGUUUAUAUAUCUUAUUUUGAAAAUUGUCUAUUCAUUCCUUUGCCCACUUUUUGAUAGAAUUAUUUGUCUUCGCCUUUACGUGUCCAGGUUUAGCAAAAAGAGGAACUAUGCCUCUAUUUUUCAACAAAAUACACAAGUCCUAGUAAUAAAACCCAGAUUGUGUCUCAAAGGCUCAUAUUGGGUAUGGACUCAUUCUUGAUCCAACCGUAGUAGUUGGGUGAGUAAGGAGGCAAUGAAAUGCUCACACAAGCCAAAUUAAUAACUUGUCCCCCAUAGAAGCUGGAGUUGAGAUGAAACCAAUACUAUAUAAACAUUUUGGACUGUAAGUAGGAUAAGGGAGAUUUUUCAGAGGAAAAUUGGGGGCUCCCCUCUGAAGAGCAAAUGAGUCAUGGGCCUACAGAUUUUUCCAUCACAGCUUGGACCUGCUAUGCUGGGUUUUGAGCCUGGAACGGGAGUAAAGACUCAUGCUUCCUAUUCUAGGUCACCAGUAGCCUUAUCAUUAAUAAAAUUAGUAGAGAUAAAGGAAAUGAGACUUUUCCUAUGUAAACCUUGGUAUAUGACCUACAGCAUGAUUUCCAUUUCAGAACUUAGUAGUGUGACAGCUCCUCAGCUGAAAUGAACAGGUACAGUAGGUCAGAUGGCUUCAGGAAAGCCCAGUUUCUUCAUCUCUCCAAAAGAUGAUUGGAUGGGUUCUGCUCCCUAUUAUAGGAAGAAACAAGGUCUUGAAAGAAAAUACAGAUGGAAAAACAGGAGGCUGAGGUGUGAGAGGAGGCAGAUCAUCUGGGAAAAAUGGAUUUUUUUAAAGUUUUGGUUAUAUUUCUGAUUAGUUAUGUGACCUCAGGCAAAUUACUUAAUAACUUUGGGCAUCUUCAUUUGAAAGACGAAGAAAUUGAAUUUUUUUUAUUGUUUCUAUUACUUUGCUGAAAUUCCCCAUCUGUUCACACAUCUUGUCCGUCAUUUAUUCUAGUUUUUAACCUACAUUUUAUCAUUCUUUAAAUUUUCUAUGUUAUACUACUGUAUGUCUCUAUUGAUUAUUUCUUAUAUUGACCAUGG
rnacentral:lncRNA from 10 species